GUAACCAUGAGAGAAACCACCAAGAGAAGCACAGAUAUGGACGCUGACAUUAGUGAACUGCUGGACCCAUGUCAAUGCUCACUUCUCUCCAACCUAUAGUUAUGUGAGAACAACAAAGCCACUGCAAGCCAGGUUUGCAAUCCUAACUGAUAACGAAAAGUUGUGUAACGACAUGAUCACGGCACUACUGCAGCUGUCUUGUGAUCAAGAAGUAAAGCCCUGAAGGUCAGCAGAGAUGCUGAUCCAGACCAUUGACCUUGACAUCAGCGAGCUGCUGAAAGAACCUGGAACCACCUUGCUGGAGACUUCUGUUAAGAGAAACCACACAGGGGAGGAGCCAAGAUGGCCGAAUAGGAACAGCUCCGGUCUACAGCUCCCAGCGUGAGCGACGCAGAAGACGGGUGAUUUCUGCAUUUCCAUCUGAGGUACCGGGUUCAUCUCACUAGGGAGUGCCAGACAGUGUGCGCAGGCCAGUGUGUGUGCGCACCGUGCGCGAGCCGAAGCAGGGCGAGGCAUUGCCUCACCUGGGAAGCGCAAGGGGUCAGGGAGUUCCCUUUCCGAGUCAAAGAAAGGGGUGACGGACGCACCUGGAAAAUCGGGUCACUCCCACCCGAAUAUUGCGCUUUUCAGACCGGCUUAAGAAACGGCGCACCACGAGACUAUAUCCCACACCUGGCUCAGAGGGUCCUACGCCCACGGAAUCGCGCUGAUUGCUAGCACAGCAGUCUGAGAUCAAACUGCAAGGCGGCAACGAGGCUGGGGGAGGGGCGCCCGCCAUUGCCCAGGCUUGCUUAGGUAAACAAAGCAGCCGGGAAGCUCGAACUGGGUGGAGCCCACCACAGCUCAAGGAGGCCUGCCUGCCUCUGUAGGCUCCACCUCUGGGGGCAGGGCACAGACAAACAAAAAGACAGCAGUAACCUCUGCAGACUUAAGUGUCCCUGUCUGACAGCUUUGAAGAGAGCAGUGGUUCUCCCAGCACGCAGCUGGAGAUCUGAGAACGGGCAGACUGACUCCUCAAGUGGGUCCCUGACCCCUGACCCCCGAGCAGCCUAACUGGGAGGCACCCCCCAGCAGGGGCACACUGACACCUCACACAGCAGGGUAUUCCAACAGACCUGCAGCUGAGGGUCCUGUCUGUUAGAAGGAAAACUAACAACCAGAAAGGACAUCUACACCGAAAACCCAUCUGUACAUCACCAUCAUCAAAGACCAAAAGUAGAUAAAACCACAAAGAUGGGGAAAAAACAGAACAGAAAAACUGGAAACUCUAAAACGCAGAGCGCCUCUCCUCCUCCAAAGGAACGCAGUUCCUCACCAGCAACAGAACAAAGCUGGAUGGAGAAUGAUUUUGACGAGCUGAGAGAAGAAGGCUUCAGACGAUCAAAUUACUCUGAGCUACGGGAGGACAUUCAAACCAAAGGCAAAGAAGUUGAAAACUUUGAAAAAAAUUUAGAAGAAUGUAUAACUAGAAUAACCAAUACAGAGAAGUGCUUAAAGGAGCUGAUGGAGCUGAAAACCAAGGCUCGAGAACUACGUGAAGAAUGCAGAAGCCUCAGGAGCCGAUGCGAUCAACUGGAAGAAAGGGUAUCAGCAAUGGAAGAUGAAAUGAAUGAAAUGAAGCGAGAAGGGAAGUUUAGAGAAAAAAGAAUAAAAAGAAAUGAGCAAAGCCUCCAAGAAAUAUGGGACUAUGUGAAAAGACCAAAUCUACGUCUGAUUGGUGUACCUGAAAGUGAUGUGGAGAAUGGAACCAAGUUGGAAAACACUCUGCAGGAUAUUAUCCAGGAGAACUUCCCCAAUCUAGCAAGGCAGGCCAACGUUCAGAUUCAGGAAAUACAGAGAACGCCACAAAGAUACUCCUCGAGAAGAGCAACUCCAAGACACAUAAUUGUCAGAUUCACCAAAGUUGAAAUGAAGGAAAAAAUGUUAAGGGCAGCCAGAGAGAAAGGUCGGGUUACCCUCAAAGGAAAGCCCAUCAGACUAACAGCGGAUCUCUCGGCAGAAACCCUACAAGCCAGAAGAGAGUGGGGGCCAAUAUUCAACAUUCUUAAAGAAAAGAAUUUUCAACCCAGAAUUUCAUAUCCAGCCAAACUAAGCUUCAUAAGUGAAGGAGAAAUAAAAUACUUUAUAGACAAGCAAAUGCUGAGAGAUUUUGUCACCACCAGGCCUGCCCUAAAAGAGCUCCUGAAGGAAGUGCUAAACAUGGAAAGGAACAACCGGUACCAGCCGCUGCAAAAUCAUGCCAAAAUGUAAAGACCAUCGAGACUAGGAAGAAACUGCAUCAACUAAUGAGCAAAAUCACCAGCUAACAUCAUAAUGACAGGAUCAAAUUCACACAUAACAAUAUUAACUUUAAAUAUAAAUGGACUAAAUUCUGCAAUUAAAAGACACAGACUGGCAAGUUAGAUAAAGAGUCAAGACCCAUCAGUGUGCUGUAUUCAGGAAACCCAUCUCACGUGCAGAGACACACAUAGGCUCAAAAUAAAAGGAUGGAGGAAGAUCUACCAAGCCAAUGGAAAACAAAAAAAGGCAGGGGUUGCAAUCCUAGUCUCUGAUAAAACAGACUUUAAACCAACAAAGAUCAAAAGAGACAAAGAAGGCCAUUACAUAAUGGUAAAGGGAUCAAUUCAACAAGAGGAGCUAACUAUCCUAAAUAUUUAUGCACCCAAUACAGGAACACCCAGAUUCAUAAAGCAAGUCCUGAGUGACCUACAAAGAGACUUAGACUCCCACACAUUAAUAAUGGGAGACUUUAACACCCCACUGUCAACAUUAGACAGAUCAACGAGACAGAAAGUCAACAAGGAUACCCAGGAAUUGAACUCAGCUCUGCACCAAGCAGACCUAAUAGACAUCUACAGAACUCUCCACCCCAAAUCAACAGAAUAUACAUUUUUUUCAGCACCACACCACACCUAUUCCAAAAUUGACCACAUAGUUGGAAGUAAAGCUCUCCUCAGCAAAUGUAAAAGAACAGAAAUUAUAACAAACUAUCUCUCAGACCACAGUGCAAUCAAACUAGAACUCAGGAUUAAGAAUCUCACUCAAAGCCGCUCAACUACAUGGAAACUGAACAACCUGCUCCUGAAUGACUACUGGGUACAUAACGAAAUGAAGGCAGAAAUAAAGAUGUUCUUUGAAACCAACGAGAACAAAGACACCACAUACCAGAAUCUCUGGGACGCAUUCAAAGCAGUGUGUAGAGGGAAAUUUAUAGCACUAAAUGCCUACAAGAGAAAGCAGGAAAGAUCCAAAAUUGACACCCUAACAUCACAAUUAAAAGAACUAGAAAAGCAAGAGCAAACACAUUCAAAAGCUAGCAGAAGGCAAGAAAUAACUAAAAUCAGAGCAGAACUGAAGGAAAUAGAGACACAAAAACCCUUCAAAAAAUCAAUGAAUCCAGGAGCUGGUUUUUUGAAAGGAUCAACAAAAUUGAUAGACCGCUAGCAAGACUAAUAAAGAAAAAAAGAGAGAAGAAUCAAAUAGACACAAUAAAAAAUGAUAAAGGGGAUAUCACCACCGAUCCCACAGAAAUACAAACUACCAUCAGAGAAUACUACAAACACCUCUACGCAAAUAAACUAGAAAAUCUAGAAGAAAUGGAUACAUUCCUCGACACAUACACUCUCCCAAGACUAAACCAGGAAGAAGUUGAAUCUCUGAAUAGACCAAUAACAGGAGCUGAAAUUGUGGCAAUAAUCAAUAGUUUACCAACCAAAAAGAGUCCGGGACCAGAUGGAUUCACAGCCGAAUUCUACCAGAGGUACAAGGAGGAACUGGUACCAUUCCUUCUGAAACUAUUCCAAUCAAUAGAAAAAGAGGGAAUCCUCCCUAACUCAUUUUAUGAGGCCAGCAUCAUUCUGAUACCAAAGCC
ensembl:lncRNA novel transcript